AGAGUUUGAUCAUGGCUCAGGAUGAACGCUAGCGGCAGGCCUAAUACAUGCAAGUCGGACGGGAUUGGAGAGCUUGCUUUCCAUGAGAGUGGCGCACGGGUGCGUAACACGUAUGUAACCUACCCAUAUCAGGGGGGAUAGCCUCUCGAAAGAGAGAUUAAGCCCGCAUAAAAUCACACGGUGGCAUCACCAAAUGAUCAAAUAUUUAUAGGAUAUGGAUGGGCAUGCGGAACAUUAGCUAGUUGGUAAGGUAACGGCUUACCAAGGCUACGAUGUUUAGGGGAUCUGAGAGGAUGACCCCUCACACUGGUACUGAGACACGGACCAGACUCCUACGGGAGGCAGCAGUAAGGAAUAUUGGUCAAUGGGCGGAAGCCUGAACCAGCCAUGCCGCGUGCAGGAAGACGGCCCUACGGGUUGUAAACUGCUUUUAUACGGGAAUAAACCUACUUACGAGUAAGUAGCUGAAUGUACUGUAAGAAUAAGGAUCGGCUAACUCCGUGCCAGCAGCCGCGGUAAUACGGAGGAUCCAAGCGUUAUCCGGAUUUAUUGGGUUUAAAGGGUGCGUAGGCGGCCAAUUAAGUCAGGGGUGAAAGACGGUAGCUUAACUAUCGCAGUGCCUUUGAUACUGAUUGGCUUGAAUGUACUUGAGGUAGGCGGAAUGUGACAAGUAGCGGUGAAAUGCAUAGAUAUGUCACAGAACACCAAUUGCGAAGGCAGCUUACUAAAGUAUGAUUGACGCUGAGGCACGAAAGCGUGGGGAUCAAACAGGAUUAGAUACCCUAGUAGUCC
rnacentral:rRNA from 1 species